AAAGUUUUAGUAUAAGUUUAUUAUGGUGGGUUGUCUGCCUGAGGAUUGUGAACUUUU
rnacentral:tRNA from 1 species